rnacentral:rRNA from 1 species
AUUGAACGCUGGCGGCAUGCCUAACACAUGCAAGUCGAACGAGCCCUUCGGGGUUAGUGGCGCACGGGUGCGUAACGCGUGGGAAUCUGCCCUUGGGUUCGGAAUAACAGUGAGAAAUUACUGCUAAUACCGGAUGAUGUCUUCGGACCAAAGAUUUAUUGCCCAGGGAUGAGCCUGCGUAGGAUUAGCUAGUUGGUGGGGUAAUGGCCUACCAAGGCGACGAUCCUUAGCUGGUCUGAGAGGAUGAUCAGCCACACUGGGACUGAGACACGGCCCAGACUCCUACGGGAGGCAGCAGUGGGGAAUAUUGGACAAUGGGCGCAAGCCUGAUCCAGCAAUGCCGCGUGAGUGAUGAAGGCCUUAGGGUUGUAAAGCUCUUUUACCCGGGAUGAUAAUGACAGUACCGGGAGAAUAAGCUCCGGCUAACUCCGUGCCAGCCGCCGCAGUAA